UAAUACGUAGGGUCCGAGCGUUAAUCGGAAUUACUGGGCGUAAAGCGUGCGCAGGCGGUCUCGCAAGUCCGAUGUGAAAUCCCCGGGCUCAACCUGGGAACUGCGUUGGAAACUAUGAGGCUCGAGUGCGGCAGAGGGGGGUGGAAUUCCACGUGUAGCAGUGAAAUGCGUAGAGAUGUGGAGGAACACCGAUGGCGAAGGCAGCCCCCUGGGCCAGCACUGACGCUCAUGCACAAAAGCGUGGGGAGCAAACAGGAUUAGAUACCCUGGUAGUCCACGCCCUAAACGAUGGCAACUAGUUGUUGGGGGAUGAACUCCCUUAGUAACGCAGCUAACGCGUGAAGUUGCCCGCCUGGGGAGUACGGUCGCAAGAUUA
rnacentral:rRNA from 1 species